rnacentral:rRNA from 1 species
UACGGAGGGUGCAAACGUUGCUCGGAAUCAUUGGGCGUAAAGCGCACGUAGGCGGCUCGUUAAGUCGGAUGUGAAAGCCCUCGGCUCAACCGAGGAAGUGCAUUCGAAACUGGCGAGCUUGAAUAUGGAAGAGGGUCGCGGUAUUCCCGGUGUAGAGGUGAAAUUCGUAGAUAUCGGGAGGAACACCAGUGGCGAAGGCGGCGACCUGGGCCAAUAUUGACGCUGAGGUGCGAAAGCGUGGGGAG